rnacentral:antisense_RNA from 1 species
GAGGAAACCCAGGACUUGAGAAAGCCAUACAAUUUGAAAGACGAAGCAUCGUGAAAUGCAGAAAGUUGUGGUUCGGAUAGCUCAGCUGAUUAAUUUCAUGUUGCCACAGUUUGUCAAACAUGGACGAGAUGGCCGGAGUCCCAUGGAGUUCUAGUAAUCUUCUUAUGACAAUAAAGCAACCUUAUGCCAUAUGAUAUGCUAAGGAUGGAGGAAGAUAGAGUCUAGGUGCCUGAUAACAACAUGGAGCUGUCAAACAAGCCCUGGAUUGCCUCCCCCUGGACGUCUCAUUAUGGGAGAAAAUGAAGCAAUUUGUUUAAGCCACA